ensembl:lncRNA
AUGACAGAAACGUUGUGAGAGCUGUGAAGAAAAACCUCAAAAGCAACGGUCAGUGACAUCAUCAACCUCCUCCACAGGGCAUGGUGAGGAUAUCUCAAUCCACCGUCCUGAAGGAGACACCACAAGAUACAGACCGCUCAUCAGCAGUAAGAAUCAGAAAUCCAGAUUAGCAUUCAAUAAAAAAAUACAGAGGAGAUCCACAAAAAUUCUGGAACCAAGAUGAACCUCCACCAGAGUGAUGGAAAGACCAAAGUGUGGAGAAAGAAAGAAUCUGCUCAUGAUCCAACACAUACAAGCUCAUCUGUCUUCCAAUUUACAAAGAAAUGCAUCCAAAUGGAUCAGGAGGAACUUUAUCAUGCAGCAAGACAACCAUCCAAAACACUCUGCCAACAAGACACAGGACUUCAUCAGGGGAAAAGUGGUUUUGACUGGCCAAGUCAAUCACCAGACCUUCACCUCACCCCCGGAAGAGGAGACUGAAGGGAGAAACCCCCCGAAACUGAAAGAGGCUGUGGUUAAAACCUGGAGAAGCUUCACAGAAGAAGAAAUCAGCAGUUUGGUGAAUGCGGUGCGUCGCAGGAUCGACGCAGUCACUGCAGGACUAAGUGGACGCGCGCACGCGGAGCUCUGAAAGAGCAUCUACGAUGCAAACGGGGCAAAGGGAGGAGGAGGAGGAGUACCAAACCGGAGAGGAUAUCGAUUUUUCAUCUCAUCCUACACUAACGGAGUAGUGUGUGUGCGCGCGCGGUGUGUGUGUGUGUGUGUGUGUGGAUA